rnacentral:rRNA from 1 species
GUCCACGCCGUAAACGGUGGGCACUAGGUGUGGGUCCUUAUCAACGGGAUCCGUGCCGUCGCUAACGCAUUAAGUGCCCCGCCUGGGGAGUACGGCCGCAAGGCUAAAACUCAAAGGAAUUGACGGGGCCCGCACAAGCAGCGGAGCAUGUUGCUUAAUUCGAGGCAACGCGAAGAACCUUACCUGGGUUUGACAUGUACGGAAAAGCCAUAGAGAUAUGGUGUCCUUCGGGGCCGUACACAGGUGGUGCAUGGCUGUCGU